AUUGACGUUGAAAGUUGGUCUUUGCUUGGUUCGUCGGAUUUGGUCCAAAUUUAGCCCAAAAAUAGAUGUUAAAUAACAGUGAAAUUCUGCGUGACUUCCACUAGCUGUAAUGUGCGCGCGCGCAGAACUGGAGCGGAGGACGUCACCAUGGAAACGAGGCGGCAGCCCAACCGUCAAGCAGCUGAACGCUGACACUCAAUGUGGUUUCACUAUUUUUUUCAGAAAUGGUUUAGUGUCGUCAGAAAAAGUCCGUUAGCAUCUCAACCAAGUGCCAGUAAAAAACCUCUAUGACAGAGGAGAAGUUCCUGAUUUUAACAUUUGUGAAGGGAGCUGCUGACAGAGAGGAUGAAAACACACACAUUUUGAUGUCCACGCUGUGGGAGCAUUACUAAAUAAGUAAAACUAAAAUGUUUUAUAUAUAUAUAUUCUGUAAAUUAUUAUGUAAAUUAUAUAUUCUGUGAAUUAUUAUUUUUCUUUUCUGCAUUUCACCUCUGCUAUAGUUUAUGCCAGAGCCAUGGCU